AGAAUUUAGCAGAGAUGCUUUAGUGCCUUCGGGAACUCUGAGACAGGUGCUGCAUGGCUGUCGUCAGCUCGUGUUGUGAAAUGUUGGUAAGUCCCGCAAGAGCGCAACCCCUAUCCUUUGUUGCCAGCGAUUCGGUCGGGAACUCAAAGGAGACUGCCGGUGAUAAACCGGAGGAAGGUGGGGAUGACGUCAAGUCAUCAUGGCCCUUACGAGUAGGGCUACACACGUGCUACAAUGGCGCAUACAAAGAGAAGCGACCUCGCGAGAGCAAGCGGACCUCAUAAAGUGCGUCGUAGUCCGGAUUGGAGUCUGCAACUCGACUCCAUGAAGUCGGAAUCGCUAGUAAUCGUAGAUCAGAAUGCUACGGUGAAUACGUUCCCGGGCCUUGUACACACCGCCCGUCACACCAUGGGAGUGGGUUGCAAAAGAAGUAGAUAGCUUAACCUUCGGGAGGGCGUUUACCACUUUGUGAUUCAUGACUGGGGUGAAGUCGUAACAAGGUAAGCGUAGCGAG
rnacentral:rRNA from 1 species